UCUCUGCUUCCUCACGUGAUCGUUGCCGGGACGCCGCCCCUUCUCAUCGAACUCCACCUUCAAUCGGUAGGCGAGUUCAUCUACCACUCCACCUCCGGCCGAUCGAUCCUCUCCAUCUCGCCCAUCUGCAUCCCGUCACCCUUCUCCAUCUCGGCCUCAUCUUCUUACUGAUGCGAACGCUGCCCAAUGCUAACUCCACCACCACCGGCACACCAAGGAAAGGGGUUUUCUCCCUCUGGUCAUCGCCCAUCGCGCAUUUUCUUCCUCUUCUCAUCUUCCUUCCACGAUAAGCCUUUAAGCUUCCAACAGCAGCUCCACCACAUCUCUUCCAUAUCCACUCUUCGAUCUACUAGUUCUUGGGCUUUCCCAGCUUUGUAUUCGAUCCGGACAGCUAUCUUCUUCAUCCAUCUUCGAUCCAGCUGCCUUCUCUUCUUCGCCAAGUCCGCAGCAAUUCCCUUCACCACCAGACAACUUCAUAUGCACCUCACAGAAAUUGGGUUGUUUCUUUUAUCAUGGAUCUGUGUUGAUGUUUUUUAUUGAAUGCUUAUAUCAAACUUGAUCUUCUUUAAUUAGAUUGAAUGCACUUGAUUUUAAUUGUUUCAUGCACACAACUUGUUUGAUGAAAUGUUCUAAUCUUCUAAUUCCUGCAUGUAACGUGUUCGGUAAAAUGUCUCUUUCAAUAGUUUGGUUCAAUUUGACGCAUCUUAGUUUGCUUAACUCUUGCUUUGUAUUGAUCUUUCAAUUGCUAAGUUUUAUGUCUUCAUUUAAAUGCAAUUAGGUUAAGUUAGUGUUUUCAUUUAAAUGCAGUUAGUUUCAUGUCUUCAUUUCUAUGUUUAGUGUGUAUUGUAUUUUAAGUUGUUACAUAUUGUUUCCUUAUAGCCAUAAUAUUCUAACUAAUUUGUAGAUGAGAAUGAGGUUAUCUGGAGGCAAUCAAGUUAUCCAAGAAUGAUUCGUAAUUAUUUAAUGAGGUCAUUCUACUUUUUCAUAUUCUAUUGUGACUUAUGUUUCACUCGUUAGUAUCAUGUAGGAUACCAAGAGCAAAUGUUGCAUUAGCCACAACAACCAAGAGCACAUGUUGCAUUCAAAACCAUCUUUUAAUCUUUUGGUUUCUAUCAGAGAUUUAUAAGAUACUUCAGCAAAAUUACUCUUCCAUUGACUCAGUUGUUAUAGAAGGAAGUGGUUUUUCAUUUUGAUCAGAGGUGUAGAGAGGAUUUUGAGAAGCUGAAGGAAGCUCUUAUUAUAGCACCCAUCAUUAGACCACCAGAUUGGAGCUUUCCUUUUGAGUUGAUGUGCGACGCUUCAAAUUAUUCAGUGGGAGCUGUACUUGCGUAGAGAGUAGAUGGAGCACCACAUGUCAUUUGCUAUGCUUCAAAGACUUUGGUUGAAAUACCUCCUCAAGAAAUUGGAUGCAAAACCUAGAUUAAUACAAUGGAUGCUUCUACUUCAAGAAUCUGAUGUGGAGAUACAUGAUAGGAGCAGAAGGGAAAACUUAGCGGUGGAUCACCUGAGCAGGAUUGAGGGAGAUUUUGACCACAACUAUUGAUGAUGUUUUUCCUAAUGAACAGCUGUUACUAAUGCAUGGUGAGUCACCAUGGUAUGUUGAUCUGGUUAAUUUUCUAGUAACACAUGUUUUCCCACACAAUUUACAAAAGCUCAAAAGAACAAAUUAAAA